CCUACGGGAUGCAGCAGUGAGGAAUAUUGGUCAAUGGACGCAAGUCUGAACCAGCCAUGCCGCGUGCAGGAAGACGGCUCUAUGAGUUGUAAACUGCUUUUGUACGAGGGUAAACGCAGAUACGCGUAUCUGUCUGAAAGUAUCGUACGAAUAAGGAUCGGCUAACUACGUGCCAGCAGCCGCGGUAAUACGGAGGAUUCAAGCGUUAUCCGGAUUUAUUGGGUUUAAAGGGUGCGUAGGCGGUCGGAUAAGUUAGAGGUGAAAUCCCGAGGCUCAACUUCGGAAUUGCCUCUGAUACUGUGCGGCUAGAGAGUAGUUGCGGUAGGCGGAAUGUAUGGUGUAGCGGUGAAAUGCUUAGAGAUCAUACAGAACACCGAUUGCGAAGGCAGCUUACCAAGCUACUUCUGACGUUGAGGCACGAAAGCGUGGGGAGCAAACAGGAUUAGAUACCCUAGUAGUC
rnacentral:rRNA from 1 species